GUUUCGGUGGUCAUAGCGUUAUGGAAACCCCCGGUUACAUUCCUAACCCGGAAGAUAAGCCUUUCAGCGCCAAUGGGACUGCAUG
rnacentral:rRNA from 1 species